rnacentral:tRNA from 1 species
GAAGGUAUAGCUCAGUGUAGAGCAUGUACUUAGCACGCAUGAGGUCCUGGGUUCAGUCCCCAGUGCCUCCA